rnacentral:rRNA from 1 species
AACGAACGCUGGCGGCAUGCCUAACACAUGCAAGUCGAGCGCCUGUAGCAAUACAGGAGCGGCGCACGGGUGAGUAACGCGUGGGAACCUGCCCUUAGGUUCGGAACAACCGCGGGAAACUGCGGCUGAUACCGGAUGAUGUCUUCGGACCAAAGAUGUAUCGCCUUUGGAGGGGCCCGCGUCGGAUUAGGUAGUUGGUGAGGUAACGGCUCACCAAGCCUGCGAUCCGUAGCUGGUCUGAGAGGAUGAACAGCCACACUGGGACUGAGACACGGCCCAGACUCCUACGGGAUGCAGCAGUGGGGAGUAUUGGACAAUGGGGGCAACCCUGAUCCAGCAAUGCCGCGUGGGUGAUGAAGGCCUUCGGGUUGUAAAGCCCUUUCGGCGGGGACGAUGAUGACGGUACCCGCAGAAGAAGCCCCGGCUAACUUCGUGCCAGCCGCCGCAGUAA